rnacentral:lncRNA from 1 species
UAUCUGUCUUAAUUCGACCCUUUUUUCGAGUAGUUUUUUCUUCGGCAAAUUGCCCGGUCCAAGCCAGCCCAACUAGAGCCGCUAAGACCAUACCAGUGCUCUCCACACGCCCAUGUUUGCUCGAUUACAGAUAAUCUCUCUUGUGCACUGCGAAAGGUUUCGGAAUAGCCCUACCUUACUCCUUAGAACCAAAAGCCAGAUAGAUCUUGCUACUAGAAAACCGAAGGAGCACACAAAGCAACCUCAUUGUCACCAAGAUAGAGAUGGAAGGUUUGAU